UACAGGCGCCCACCACCACGCCUGGCUAAUUGUUUUGUAUUUUUAGUAGAGAAGGGGUUUCACCAUGUUAGCCAGGAUGGUCUUGAUCUCCUGACCUCGUGAUCCGCCUGCCUCGGCCUCCCAAAGUGCCGGGGUUAUAGGCAUGAGCCACCCCACCUAGCCUCACUUCUGAAUUUUACCCCUAAGUUGGCAUGGGAACAUUCCAGAAGGCAGAGAUGGUUACUCCCUGUAUGCCAGUGAAUCUCAAGUUAUCUCAGGUAGCAGAGCCUCCAGAGGUCAUGGGAGUUUUCUUAAACAUUUAGAACUAUGCCUACAUUUGACUCCCACCUACAUUUGACUCCUGCCUACAUUUGACUCCCGCCUACAUUUGACUGACUCUGCCUACAUUUGACUCCCGCCUACAUUUGACUCCCACCUACAUUUGACUGACUCCUGCCUACAUUUGACCCCCACCUACAUUUGAGUCCCACCUACAUUUGACUGACUCCCGCCUACAUUUGACUCCCGCCUACAUUUGACUCUUGCCUACAUUUGACUGACUCCCACCUACAUUUGACUCCCACCAACAUUUGACUCCCGCCUACCUUUGACUGACUCCCACCUACAUUUGACUGACUCCUGCCUACAUUUAGCUCCCACCUCCAUUUGGCUCUUACCUCCAUUUGACUCCCACCUGCAUUUGACUACCGCCUCCACUGGACUCUGUCCUGCAUUGGACUGACUCCCACCUACAUUUGACUCCCACCUACAUUUGACUGACUCCCACCUACAUUUGACUCCCGCCUACAUUUGACUCCCGCCUACACUUGAUUCCUGCCUACAUUUGACUGCCGCCUACAUUUGACUCCCUCAUCAAUAAACUUCCCCAGGGGCAAUUUGCAUAUAGUUCUCUGCACCUAAAAAUUCACUCUAAAAAAUAUAAUAUUUCAAGAAACCCCAUUUUCGCUAGACAGAAAUACAUUUCAUAAGUCUAUUUAGUAAAUCCAACGUGCAGGGUCAUGGCAAAGCUCAGCUGGUGCUGGACAGCUAAGCAACCGGGCGCCCUCCCUGGCAGCAGGUAGCAGUCCUGGGUACCCAGGGUCUGACAAAGCUGUAGAGAGAAAAUCCUUACAUCAAGCACAUCCCAUCG
rnacentral:lncRNA from 1 species